UCUUUCCAGGAAUAUACCCCUCAUCCAUUCAAUGCAUCAUAUAAGCCUUGUUUGACAAGUUCUCUAGGCUCCUUCAGUUCCUCAUCUGUUUUCUAGGCUCCUGUAGAGAAAUUGCAGCUUUGAAUCUGUUUUGUUGAUGGUCAUCUAAUCAUUUCCAAAUUCCUCCCUGUCUUGUUGAGUGAGGCCAUGAUUAGAUGACCAUCAGCAAACAAGUUCACAAGACAUGCACAUCCUUGAUCUUUUCCCUACUGUGUGCAUAUUCUCAGUCCAUCACUGGUAUCAGGAGCUUAUGGCAAGUUGCUCUGUUAGAUAAUAGUGAUAACUAGUUGAUUGUGUUUCUGGGCAUCUGUUAGUAACACCUCAUGAUUAUACAAGGAUCAUUGCUGAAUAUGAUGGAUAUUGAUGGUACCUAGAGUAAAAUACAAGGCCAAAAAAAAUGCAAUUGCAGUGCAACCCUAUUUCCAAUUGCAUGUUCAUCUGCAUCUGUUCUAUUUGUAGCAUGAGAAAAGAAUACAUACAUAGCUUCACAUCCUGUCUUGUGAGAUUAUAGUGUAACAACACAAACUCAACAUACUGAUUGUUGAAGCUCUUUUUAUCA